AGAUCGGUGUUAGUCAUUUCAUAAUUUUUGUCAGAGAUAGUUCUAGAUAGGUUCCCUAUAUGACCACCCACGGUAAACUCGCAAUUUCUUUAAGUGAUGCGCGCUCACGAUGCGUAGCUGCGUUUGUGUGCAUGAGUGUGAAAUUGCGACCGCAACCUGCUUCCUCCCUAGAGAAAGUUAGCUUGACUGAGUGCACGCAGCAGGGCAUUCUGAUAUCCUGAUGCUUCGCACAGACGUUGGACGAAGCGAAACGGUUUAAAGAAAAGGGGAUUUGAAUUAGCCAUCGGAGGACGGAUCCGCUGGCCGUUGAGUGGGUGAGGGAGGGAGAUUGUUUUCUAUCUUAACAACACUGGAGGGGAGGGGGAGGGACGGAGAAUGAGUUCAGCGUGUAGAGAGGCUGCUGUGUGCGAUAGCCAGGACCCAUCUUGCGCCGGCGCUAAGUCGUGUGCUACUAAUGAUAUUAGCGUCAGGAGCAUCGGAAACUCCUACACCUGCAGCGACAGCCAGUCGAACCAGAACCCCAAACCAACAACAGCAAUGAAAGUCAAAACAGGUAGCAACUCCACGGACGUGGGGGUCAUCGUUACCACUGAGGACGAACUGCUCAGGAACCCCGUAAUUACUCCAGAAGACGUGCUUGGAUUGCAGAACAUCACCGAAAAUUACCUGUGCACUCCGGGGGAGAACAUCCACAGCAUCGACUUCACCCGCUUCAGGAUUCGGGACAUGGAGACGGGCGCCAUACUGUUCGAGAUCGCCAAACCCCCCGUCAACGAGAGUGCGGGAGAUAAGCGGGACUUCGACCCCAACGCAGGCCGCUUCGUCCGCUAUCAGUUCAGCCCCGCCUUCCUUCAGCUGCGACGUGUCGGAGCUACUGUGGAGUUCACGGUCGGCGACUUGCCCAUCAAUAACUUCCGUAUGAUCGAGCGGCACUACUUCCGCGAGCAGCUGCUGAAGAGCUUCGACUUCGAGUUCGGCUUCUGCAUCCCCAGCAGCAAGAACACCUGCGAGCACAUCUACGAGUUCCCCCCGCUCGCCGAGGAGACCAUGCGUGAGAUGAUCCUGCACCCGUACGAGACGCGGUCGGACAGCUUCUACUUUGUGGACAACAAGCUGGUGAUGCACAACAAGGCCGACUACUCCUACAGCGGGGGGGUGUAGAGCCUGGGCCCACAGCCACGGACAGACGGACGGACGAGCGGACCUACGGCGGGAUACAGGAGCACACACACACAGAAAUGCACAUAUAUAUACACACA